UGGACAGUACUACUGGGUCCCGGUAGUAGCUAUUGUUUUGUUGUUUACGUUGACUUAAAACGAACUUAAAAAAUAAAAUCGUUUGAAUCGUAUUUCUGUCAGAUUUCUUUCCCUUGAUCCUGGGGAGAAGUGCUUUGUGUCUGUUGAAAGGCACAGAAGGAUAGCCAGACAGGAUGUCGAUGUCGCAUCUGUACGGGCGCGAUGAGGAGGAGGACGGGGUGGAGCUGGAGCGCUUCGAGGUCACGGACUGGGACCUCCAGAACGAGUUCAACCCAGAGCGCCGGCGCCACCGCCAGACCAAGGAGGAGGCCACCUACGGGAUGUGGGCAGAGCAUGACUCCGAUGACGAGAGGCCCAGCUUCGGAGGCAAGAGAACGGCAUGCAGGUCGAAGGACUACACCGCCCCUGUGAACUUCAUCAGCGCAGGGCUGCGCAAGUCUGCAGCGGAGGAGCGAGAGCAGAGACAAAGCCAGCCGGACUCGGACGAUUCCGAUGACAUGGACAAGGGGAAGAGGGAGGAGAGAUCGAGGGAGUCGGUGCCCAGGAAACUGCAGACGGGCGCGAACUUCAAGGGCUCUCAGAAGGGGUUUGUGGGCGGGCCUCGUCUGGGCCAGGAUUUCGCAAACUGGGAGCGACACACCCGUGGGAUCGGGCAGAAGCUGCUGGAGAAGAUGGGCUACGUCCCCGGGAGGGGGCUGGGCAAGAACGCACAAGGUAUCCUUAACCCCAUCGAAGCGAAGGCCCGCAAGGGGAAGGGAGCAGUAGGGGCAUACGGAGCUGAGAGGACCAAGCAGUCCCUGCAGGACUUCCCCGUGGUGGACUCCGAGGAGGAGGAGGAGAAGGAUUUCCAGCAGGAGAUGAGUCAGUGGCGGAGGGAACCAGGCCAGGGCAGGAAGAAGCCUAAAUACUCGUACAGGACUGUGGACGAGCUGAAAGCCAAGGGCUACGCGAUGGGCAAGAGCAUGGCAGCGCCACCGACAGAGCUGGCACAGGUCAAGGUGAUCGACAUGACUGGGCGCGAGCACAAGGUCUAUUCCAGCUACAGCCAGAUGAGCAACAAGCACAGCAUGCCCGAAGAGCCGCCCCUGGCCCCGGCCGGCAAGGAGCAGAAGAGCCCCAGCUUCGCACUGCCAGAGCUGGAGCACAACCUGCAGCUGCUGAUAGACCUGACCGAGCAGGAGAUCUUGCAGGGAGCGCGGAGGCUGCAGCACGAGCGUGACGUGGUAGUGUCCCUGUCCCACGAGAGCGAGAUUCUGGCAGAGACGCUGUCCCAGGAGGAGGGGGCACUGGAGAGGCUGGGCCGGGUGCUGGAGCUGGUGGAGCAGUACGAGCGAAGGCUGAGCCCGGGGCUCGGCAGCACUGAGAAGCCCCUCUCUCUGGAGGACUGCACGCAGCUCUUCGAGAGGCUGCAGGGGGACUUCUACGAGGAGUACAAGGCGUUCGGACUGGCUGACCUGGCUGUGGCCAUGGUGCACCCCCUGCUCAAGGAGCACUUCAGGGACUGGGAGCCACUCAAGGACGGGAUCUAUGGGAUUGAGGUCAUCGGCAAAUGGAGGGCGCUGCUAGAGAGUGGGCAGAUGGCUCACAGCCAGCCAGACAUGAAUGCAAUGGACCCCUAUCACAGGAUGCUGUGGGAGGUUUGGCUUCCCUUCGUGCGCGCCUCUGUGACUCGCUGGCAGCCCCGGAACUGCGGGCCCAUGGUGGACUUCCUGGAGAGCUGGGCGCCCAUCCUGCCCAUCUGGAUCCUGGAAAAUAUCCUGGAGCAGCUCAUCUUUCCCAAGCUGCAGAGAGAGGUGGAGAGCUGGAACCCCUUGACCGACACAGUGCCCAUUCACUCCUGGAUUCACCCCUGGUUGCCUCUGAUGCAGGCACAACUGGAGCCGCUGUACCCACCGAUCCGCAGCAAGCUAGCCAGCGCCCUGCAGAAAUGGCACCCCAGCGACAGCUCUGCCAAGCUCAUCCUGCAGCCCUGGAGAGACGUCUUCACGCCCGGGUCAUGGGAGGCAUUCAUGGUGAAGAACAUUGUCCCCAAGCUAGGGCUGUGCCUCAGUGAGUUUGUGGUAAACCCACACCAGCAGCACAUGGACCCUUUCCAAUGGGUGCUGGACUGGGAGGGCAUGCUGUCUCCCUCCAGCCUGGUCGGCAUGCUCGACAAACACUUCUUCCCAAAGUGGCUCCAGGUGCUGUGCUCCUGGCUCAGUAACAACCCCAACUACGAGGAGAUCACCAAGUGGUACCUGGGCUGGAAGUCGAUGCUAUCGGACGCGGUGCUGGCUCACCCCUCCGUCAAGGAGAAGUUCAACGAGGCUCUGGACAUCAUGAACCGCUCCGUGUCCUCCGGCAUCGGCGGGUACAUGCAGCCGGGCGCUCGGGAGAACGUUGCGUACCUCACACACACGGAGCGGCGCAAGGACUUCCAGUACGAGGCGAUGCAGGAGCGCAGGGAGGCGGAGAGCGUGGCUCAGCGUGGCAUCGGGGCUGCGGUCGCAGCCGCCUCCACCAUCCCCACCAACUUCAAGGACCUGAUCCAGGCCAAGGCCGAGGAGCACAACAUCGUCUUCAUGCCCGUGAUGGGCAAGCGGCACGAGGGCAAGCAGCUCUACACCUUCGGGAGGAUCGUCAUCUACAUCGACCGCGGCGUGGUGUUCGUGCAGGGAGAGAAGACCUGGGUGCCCACCUCCCUGCAGAGCCUCAUCGACAUGGCCAAGUAGGGGGGGUGGGGAGAGGAGGUGGCUGGAGCUGCUGUGGCUUCAGUGCAGCUGAUCCCAACUGUGAACAUCCUAGAACGGGGGCGGCCAAAGCUGUCUCUUCCACUCCUGGUCUUUGUUCCAACCCUGUUCUAAACUGUUUAAUUGAACCAAUGAAACCUCCAUCCAGACCCUGAUGUAGAUUAUUAUCUCAUAGUAUCUGUUAAACCUGGAGUGGAACGGACCUCCAGGAACAUCGCUGGACACCCCUGCCCAAGAACAUCACUUUUAGGAGGUCCCAUGAGUUAAAUCCUGUCUGUCUAAUGAUAUAGAGAACCAGAUGCUUUAUUUGGUUGAUCAGAGAACUUUUACGUUGCAAUUUUAUGUUUAACAGAUUUCUAACCUGUUCUUGCACUGAGAGGCAGAGCAUGACUUGCUCAGUGGCUGUGCUUUGAACACACGACAAUAAAGAGUCAUUUAUAUUUCUUGCUAAGUACAUUGGUAACAGAGUUGCAUUAAUAAAUACAUGCAGUUUUCAAUGCAUGGGACAGAUUCAUAUUUGUUUCUACUAUUGCUAUAGUAUAUAGAUCAAAAAACUAUAAAUACAAAAAUCUGCAAAAUAUAAUUUUUGUAAUUAUAACUUUAAUUACGUAUUUUGAAUCCACCUGAGGGCAGGUAAAAACAUCCCAAACUACUCUGCAGUAUUAAUCACUGUGUUGUAUUUUUCACUUCAUAUAUCCCCUAAGGUCACUGCCUGAACAACUGUACCAUGCUUCUCAUUUGCGCAUGUAUUUUAUAAUGCAGAGGAUGUUUUUUUAAAAGUUUUGGCAGGGUAACUUCUCAAAGCCAUGGAGUUCACACGUACUGUUUAAAAAAAAAAAAAAAAAAAAAAAAAAAACGACAUUACAAAAAACUGCUUUAUUGUAUUAAUUUAUUAAUCAAUGUGUUAGAUAGAUAAUAAAAUCUCCUAGAUACUAAUAAUGCCUCCCAUCAGUUUUCUUCAGUGAGGGCCACUGAUCAACACUAUAAUCUAGAAUCUGAGUGCACAGGCUGUUUCGUUAUAGUAGUUAUUAAACACACACAGUGUGCCCAAUACAAACUGUAUGAGAAGCAGUAAACCCCACACAGCUCUAUUCCUCCAGGGAAAGGAAGGAUACCGAGUUACGCACAGUAAUAGCAGACACAGAAUGCAGAUCAACCGUGAAAACCCUUCGCAGACAUUGAAGUAAAAUAAUCUGAAUAUAGCUGCUACUCCAACAGUUAAAAAAGUCAUAAAAAAGUACAUUAUUAUUCCACCCCAACCUAAAACGCUAUGUGAUGAGUGCCCGGCGCUGUGUGGCUCAGGCGCCGCUCCGUACAGCCGGCCUCGCCUCACAUGACUGCGGGCUUGUGAUUUGCGUUAUCUGCGUCCAGGCUCUGCUCGAGUAACCGUGUGGCGGUGCUAAGAACUCGCUGGGCGAACAAAUUGUAUAUGAAAUGCAACAAUAAUUCUAGAAACAAAUAAAAGUGGGAGAGCUGGGUGAAAAAUAAAAAGAGGAAGACGCAAACCAAGAAGGAGCCGCGCACCGAGUCAGACUCGCUUCCAGAAACUUUGUAAACAAACACGGUGCGUGUUGAGAGUCGUGCGGCGAGAUUUUGAAUUAAAUAACCAUUGCAGCUCGGCGUGAACCCGAAGCGCGCAGCGAUGCAUUGCAAAUAACUGUAAGCGCGAUUAUUAUUAUUAUUAUUUAUUAUUAUUAUUAGUCGUAGUCGUAGUAUUAUACUGUAUUUGAUUGUUACGCUGGGUGUGCAGUAUAUAGUUCUGCUGGCACUAGUUUCAUUUUGUAGCCUGUGUGUACGUUUAUUUAGAGAAAUUGAUUGGGUGCCAUACUGUGUUUUUUUAUUUUUUAUGACGCUAUUUAGCACUGAUUCAGUCUUCUGCUAGAGCUGUCAGUGUUUAUGUAAGAGUAUAACAGGGUUAGCCACAUCCGUAUGUGAUUACACAACCAGCCGCGGUGUAAAGUCUUAUGUAGUCUAAGCGGAGCUGCUUGAUGUGUCGGUUAUAUGUCAUGGGAGCGUGUUUAAACCUUGAAGAGUAUUAUUCUAGUCCAUUCUGAUUUCUUUUCUUCACCACCACACCCUGUUUCUUGCUGCUGAGGCGGUCGAGUAAGAAAAUCGUCUUCCGCUGGAACCACCCAGUAACCACAGAUCAGAAUCACGCUCUGAGCACCCGGGUUGGGAAGUCUGCAGCGAGACCGCGCAUUUGAGUAGCAGCUCUGCUCUGGGUCCUUGUGGAAUAUAGAACAGCACUGGCUCUUCUGUGUACAGCUGAAGCACAGCACCCAGGCCAUUGCAGGAUAAGGUGUACUGUUUGUAGAAGGCUGGCGGUUGCAAGGUGGGGUGGAGAGGAAGAGGUGGAU